rnacentral:rRNA from 1 species
AACGAACGCUGGCGGCAUGCCUAACACAUGCAAGUCGAACGAGACCUUCGGGUCUAGUGGCGCACGGGUGCGUAACGCGUGGGAACCUGCCCUUAGGCUCGGAAUAACUCCCCGAAAGGGGUGCUAAUACCGGAUAAUGUCUUCGGACCAAAGAUUUAUCGCCUUUGGAUGGGCCCGCGUUGGAUUAGCUAGUUGGUAGGGUAAAAGCCUACCAAGGCGACGAUCCAUAGCUGGUCUGAGAGGAUGAUCAGCCACACUGGGACUGAGACACGGCCCAGACUCCUACGGGAGGCAGCAGUGGGGAAUAUUGGACAAUGGGCGAAAGCCUGAUCCAGCAAUGCCGCGUGAGUGAUGAAGGCCUUAGGGUUGUAAAGCUCUUUUACCCGGGAUGAUAAUGACAGUACCGGGAGAAUAAGCGCCGGCUAACUCCGUG